rfam:Schistosoma haematobium scaffold575_54, whole genome shotgun sequence.
AUCAUGCUGACGAACCCCAAAUAGGACGAAACGCGCGUCGUGGAU